AUUGAACGCUGGCGGCAAGCCUUACACAUGCAAGUCGAACGGCAGCGGGGACUUCGGUCCGCCGGCGAGUGGCGAACGGGUGAGUAAUGUAUCGGAACGUACCAUUCAGUGGGGGAUAACUAUCCGAAAGGAUAGCUAAUACCGCAUAUUCUGUGAGCAGGAAAGCAGGGGAUCGCAAGACCUUGCGCUGAUUGAGCGGCCGAUAUCAGAUUAGCUAGUUGGUGAGGUAACGGCUCACCAAGGCUACGAUCUGUAGCGGGUCUGAGAGGAUGAUCCGCCACACUGGGACUGAGACACGGCCCAGACUCCUACGGGAGGCAGCAGUGGGAAAUUUUGGACAAUGGGCGCAAGCCUGAUCCAGCCAUGCCGCGUGAGUGAAGAAGGCCUUCGGGUUGUAAAGCUCUUUCGGCCGGGAAGAAAUCGCAUCAGCUAAUACCUGGUGUGGAUGACGGUACCGGAAUAAGAAGCACCGGCUAACUACGUGCCAGCCGCCGCAGUAAAAC
rnacentral:rRNA from 1 species